rnacentral:sRNA from 1 species
AAAGUCAAAUUCGUGGUUACCGACUGCCAUAGCAUCAUAACCUACUGCAUUCAUUGCUUUAGCCAUUUCUUCACCUUUUGACUGGUUUGAAAGUGGUAAACCUUGGAAGGCGUCUCCUGCGUCUAACAUUAAAUCAGGCUUUUCUUGUUCUUUUACUGUUUUUAAUUUAGCCAUACCGAUGACACGCCCUUUUUCUUCGGCUAGUCGGCCAUGGAUAUCAUUUGUAUGUAAUAUUUUAUGUGUCGUUGUUUGUGGUGCAUUAGCAGCAAACAUUCGUGGUGAAAGUGAUGCUGUUUUAGCAUUUGAUAAUUUGAAUGUUGCUGUGUGAGUUGGUUUUUGUGUUGAGGCUUGUUGUGUAUCUACGUCGCGCGUUUCGUUUACUGUUGUUGAAACUGCUGUAGAUGGUUUGUU